UAUGUACUCCCUCCGUUCCAAAAUACUUGACUUCCAUUUGUCCAAAAAUGGAUGUACCUAUAUACUAAGACAUAUCUAGAUACAUAUAUAUUUUGACAAAUAGAAGGCAUGUAUUGUGCAACGGAGGGAGUAGAAU
rnacentral:pre_miRNA from 1 species